rnacentral:rRNA from 1 species
CGGGCGGCUCCAGCAGUGAGGAAUUUUGCGCAAUGGGGGGAACCCUGACGCAGCAACGCCGUGUGAGUGAAGAAGGCCUUUGGGUCGUAAAGCUCUGUCAACUGGGAAGAAGUUAGUAUGCUUUAAUAGAGUAUACUAUUGACGGUACCAGUGGAGGAAGCGUCGGCUAACUCCGGUGCCAGCAGCCGCGGUAACACGGGGGACGCAAGCGUUAUUCGGAAUUAUUGGGCGUAAAGGGCGCGUAGGCGGUCUUGUCGGUCAGGUGUGAAAGCCCGGGGCUCAACCCCGGACGUGCACUUGAAACAGCAAGACUUGAGUACGGGAGAGGAAAGCGGAAUUCCUGGUGUAGAGGUGACAUUCGUAGAUAUCAGGAGGAACACCGAUGGCGAAGGCAGCUUUCUGGACCGAAACUGACGCUGAGGCGCGAAGGCGCGGGUAGCGAACGGGAUUAGAUACCCUUGUAGUC